rnacentral:rRNA from 1 species
UACGGGGGGGGCAAGCGUUGUUCGGAUUCAUUGGGCGUAAAGGGUGCGUAGGCGGCGAAGCAAGUCAGGUGUGAAAUCCCGGGGCUCAACCCCGGAACUGCACUUGAUACUGCUUUGCUUGAGGACUGGAGAGGAGAUCGGAAUUCACGGUGUAGCAGUGAAAUGCGUAGAUAUCGUGAGGAAGGCCAGUGGCGAAGGCGGAUCUCUGGACAGUUCCUGACGCUGAGGCACGAAGGCCAGGGGAGCAAACGGG